UACGUAGGGGGCAAGCGUUAUCCGGAUUUACUGGGUGCAAAGGGAGCGUAGACGGCCUUGCAAGUCUGGUGUGAAAGCCCGGGGCUCAACCCCGGGACUGCAUUGGAAACUGCAUGGCUGGAGUGCAGGAGAGGUAAGCGGAAUUCCUAGUGUAGCGGUGAAAUGCGUAGAUAUUAGGAGGAACACCAGUGGCGAAGGCGGCUUACUGGACUGUAACUGACGUUGAGGCUCGAAAGCGUGGGGAGCAAACAGG
rnacentral:rRNA from 1 species